rnacentral:rRNA from 1 species
UAUGAACGCUGGCGGCAUGCCUUACACAUGCAAGUCGAACGGCAGCACGGGGGCAACCCUGGUGGCGAGUGGCGAACGGGUGAGUAAUAUAUCGGAACGUACCCUAGAGUGGGGGAUAACGUAGCGAAAGUUACGCUAAUACCGCAUACGAUCUACGGAUGAAAGCAGGGGACCGCAAGGCCUUGCGCUCAUGGAGCGGCCGAUAUCUGAUUAGCUAGUUGGUAGGGUAAAAGCCUACCAAGGCAUCGAUCAGUAGCUGGUCUGAGAGGACGACCAGCCACACUGGGACUGAGACACGGCCCAGACUCCUACGGGAGGCAGCAGUGGGGAAUUUUGGACAAUGGGGGCAACCCUGAUCCAGCAAUGCCGCGUGAGUGAAGAAGGCCUUCGGGUUGUAAAGCUCUUUUGUCAGGGAAGAAACGGCAUCCUCUAAUACAGGGUGCUAAUGACGGUACCUGAAGAAUAAGCACCGGCUAACUACGUGCCAGCAGCCGCGGUAAUACGUAGGGUGCAAGCGUUAAUCGGAAUUACUGGGCGUAAAGCGUGCGCAGGCGGUUAUGUAAGACAGAUGUGAAAUGCCCGGGCUCAACCUGGGAACUGCAUUUGUGACUGCAUGGCUAGAGUUUGGCAGAGGGGGGUAGAAUUCCACGUGUAGCAGUGAAAUGCGUAGAUAUGUGGAGGAAUACCGAUGGCGAAGGCAGCCCCCUGGGUCAAGACUGACGCUCAUGCACGAAAGCGUGGGGGGCAAACAGGAUUAGAUACCCUGGUAGUCCACGCCCUAAACGAUGUCUACUAGUUGUCGGGUCUUAAUUGACUUGGUAACGCAGCUAACGCGUGAAGUAGACCGCCUGGGGAGUACGGUCGCAAGAUUAAAACUCAAAGGAAUUGACGGGGACCCGCACAAGCGGUGGAUGAUGUGGAUUAAUUCGAUGCAACGCGAAAAACCUUACCUACCCUUGACAUGUACGGAAGACUUCAGAGAUGAGGUUGUGCUCGCAAGAGAACCGUAACACAGGUGCUGCAUGGCUGUCGUCAGCUCGUGUCGUGAGAUGUUGGGUUAAGUCCCGCAACGAGCGCAACCCUUGUCAUUAGUUGCUACGAAAGGGCACUCUAAUGAGACUGCCGGUGACAAACCGGAGGAAGGUGGGGAUGACGUCAAGUCCUCAUGGCCCUUAUGGGUAGGGCUUCACACGUCAUACAGUGGUACAUACAGAGGGCCGCCAACCCGCGAGGGGGAGCUAAUCCCAGAAAGUGUAUCGUAGUCCGGAUUGUAGUCUGCAACUCGACUACAUGAGGUUGGAAUCGCUAGUAAUCGCGGAUCAGCAUGUCGCGGUGAAUACGUUCCCGGGCCUUGUACACACCGCCCGUCACACCAUGGGAGCGGGUUUUACCAGAAGUAGGUAGCUUAACCCGAGGGUAACCGAGGGAGGGCGCUUACCACGGUAGGAUUCGUGACUGGGGUGAAGUCGUAACAAGGUAGCCGUUACGGAAGG